UACAGAGGGUGCGAGCGUUAAUCGGAAUUACUGGGCGUAAAGCGCACGUAGGCGGCUUGGUAUGUCGGGUGUGAAAGCCCUCAGCUCAACUGAGGAAGUGCGCCCGAAACUGCAGAGCUUGAGUGCCGGAGAGGGUGGCGGAAUUCCCCAAGUAGAGGUGAAAUUCGUAGAUAUGGGGAGGAACACCGGUGGCGAAGGCGGCCACCUGGACGGUAACUGACGCUGAGACGCGAAAGCGUGGGUAGCAAACAGG
rnacentral:rRNA from 1 species